rnacentral:tRNA from 1 species
UCCGCAUAAGCCGUGGUGGUGCGGCGCCGGGCUUCCACCCCGGAGAAGCGGGUUCGACUCCCGCAUGCGGGACCA